AAGAGAGAUUUUAAAUAAAAUAGCUGCUAACUAAUUUUUAAAGCGCAAAUAAGCGUUUAUCUCUUA
rnacentral:tRNA from 1 species